rnacentral:rRNA from 1 species
UGUUUCGGCUAGGGGGCCAUCCCGGCUUACCAACCCGAUGCAAACUGCGAAUACCGGAGAAUGUUAUCACGGGAGACACACGGCGGGUGCUAACGUCCGUCGUGAAGAGGGAAACAACCCAGACCGCCAGCUAAGGUCCCAAAGUCAUGGUUAAGUGGGAAACGAUGUGGGAAGGCCCAGACAGCCAGGAUGUUGGCUUAGAAGCAGCCAUCAUUUAAAGAAAGCGUAAUAGCUCACUGGUCGAGUCGGCCUGCGCGGAAGAUGUAACGGGGCUAAACCAUGCACCGAAGCUGCGGCAGCGAACGUAUCACCCAAGACAACUUUGCGGAGUUGACGAUUGACGGAGCGAAGCGACGUCAAAGCGUUCAUUAAAGUCGAGUUGGCUUAGGGAUACGUUCGUUGGGUAGGGGAGCGUUCUGUAAGCCAGUGAAGGUGUGUCGUGAGGCAUGCUGGAGGUAUCAGAAGUGCGAAUGCUGACAUAAGUAACGAUAAAGCGGGUGAAAAGCCCGCUCGCCGGAAGACCAAGGGUUCCUGUCCAACGUUAAUCGGGGCAGGGUGAGUCGACCCCUAAGGCGAGGCCGAAAGGCGUAGUCGAUGGGAAACGGGUUAAUAUUCCCGUACUUGGUGUUACUGCGAAGGGGGGACGGAGAAGGCUAUGUUGGCCGGGCGACGGUUGUCCCGGUUUAAGCGUGUAGGUGUGUGUUCCAGGUAAAUCCGGUU